CCUACGGGAGGCAGCAGUGAGGAAUAUUGGUCAAUGGGCGCGAGCCUGAACCAGCCAAGUCGCGUGAGGGAUGACGGUCCUACGGAUUUUAAACCUCUUUUGCCGGGGAGCAAGCGUGCGUUCGUGAACGCGCGUCGAUAGUACCCGGCAAAAAAGCAUCGGCUAACUCCGUGCCAGAAGCCGCGGUAAUACGGGGGAUGCGAGCGUUAUCCGGAUUUAUUGGGUUAAAAGGGUGCGUAGGCGGGAUGCCCAUUAAGCGGUAAAAAUGCGGUGCUUACCGCCGGCGAGCCGUUGACACUGGCGUGCUUGAGUGGACGAGAAGUAGGCGGAAUGCGUGGUGUAGCGGUGAAAUGCAUAGAUAUCACGCAGAACUCCGAUUGCGAAGGCAGCAUACCGGCGCCCUACUGACGCUGAGGCACGAAAGCGUGGGUAUCGAACAGGAUUAGAUACCCGUGUAGUC
rnacentral:rRNA from 1 species